rnacentral:sRNA from 1 species
CCUCUCUACAGCUAGGAGCCAAUGGCAGAAGACAAAACCAAACCGAGUGAGUUGGACCAAGGGAAGUAUGAUGCUGAUGACAACGUGAAGAUCAUCUGCCUGGGAGACAGCGCAGUGGGCAAAUCCAAACUCAUGGAGAGAUUUCUCAUGGAUGGCUUGUAUCCUUCAAGGUUUGAAGUACCCCUUGCUCCUGUGGGUCUUCCCACGCUCAUGUAUCAGUGUCCCACUGCCCACCCCUUUGUACCAGCAGCCCAGGAAGGAGGAUUGGGUAAGUGAAUGCACAGGUUUUGUUCCGCGCUUGUUUCUUGCCGAUUGACCCACAUGGCAUUGCACAAUCAGUGCUGUAUAUUUUGGACCUUACUCAUAUUUGGAUUGUUUUAUAUUAAGAGGGCAGUAGAAUGGCAAACAGCAAAUGGUUUGGAUCUAAUGCCUGGAUUCAAACCCCACCUCCUCCUCCUCAGUAGCUUCUGAUACUGGCCAAGUCAUUUAGCCUCUCUAACCUCAAAGCUUGGGCCUCCUACUAUUGAAAAAAAUCUCUGAUAUGAAUAAACUUUGUAAAAUAGGAGCUACCAGCCCCACCUUUCUCCCAUGAAUUGUUAUAUUGCAUAGGUUUGGAGUGAGUUCCUCCCCGCAACUGGGAGAUUUUUAAACAGCUUCCCAAGUGGAUCCACUGAGAACCACAGGUGAGAGGAGCCCCUGGAGCCUGCUGCUGCCUGUCCUAGGCUCGGCACCCCAAGGCUCAGUUGCCUUAAGAUCUGAGUAUGUGUUACUCCACCUUCUACCAAGUGCUCCUGCACACCCAGCCCACCUGCGUCAUUUGGCUCUGCUUUUUACACUGUCCGGCUUCUUGCAGCCUCGGAAGGUGUUAAUCCCCAGAGUUUAACCCUUUUUCUCAGGGUUUCACACAUAGGCAGACUCCAAAUUGAUUGACAGCUUGUCAACUGUAUGGCUUGUGGGAGCUUUUGUCCCUGGAAUGGUCAUGUUGCUACCUAGGGUUAGGGUUUCCUUUCUAGCCUGUGAAAGCUCCAUCCAUGAUUGAGUUGGGGUAUCCACAUUUGCAUUUUCCAACUGCAUGAUGCCUUGUAUGACACUUGUCUGUAAAA